AAGCCUGAUCCAGCAAUGCCGCGUGCAGGAAGAAGGCCUUCGGGUUGUAAACUGCUUUUGUCAGGGAAGAAAUCUUCUGGGCUAAUACCCCGGGAGGAUGACGGUACCUGAAGAAUAAGCACCGGCUAACUACGUGCCAGCAGCCGCGA
rnacentral:rRNA from 1 species